rnacentral:rRNA from 1 species
AUGCUCGACACCUACUGGAGGCAGCAGUAGGGAAUCUUCCACAAUGGGCGCAAGCCUGAUGGAGCAACACCGCGUGAGUGAAGAAGGGUUUCGGCUCGUAAAGCUCUGUUGUUGGAGAAGAACGUGCGUGAGAGUAACUGUUCACGCAGUGACGGUAUCCAACCAGAAAGUCACGGCUAACUACGUGCUAGCAGCCGCGGUAAUCUGAGCGGGCUGGCAAGGC